ACCCUCUCAGGGUCAUCCCUGGUGAGUUUCCAGUACUCUACCAGUCUUGGAUAUGGGAGGGAAUGUCAAGUAGAUGCCUACCCAUUCCAUUCCUAGCUUGGCCAGUGACUAGUGAGUGGAAGGCAAUCUACUACAAAU